rnacentral:rRNA from 1 species
CAUAAUGUCGCAAGACCAAAGUGGGGGACCUUCGGGCCUCAUGCCAUCAGAUGUGCCCAGAUGGGAUUAGCUAGUAGGUGGGGUAACGGCUCACCUAGGCGACGAUCCCUAGCUGGUCUGAGAGGAUGACCAGCCACACUGGAACUGAGACACGGUCCAGACUCCUACGGGAGGCAGCAGUGGGGAAUAUUGCACAAUGGGCGCAAGCCUGAUGCAGCCAUGCCGCGUGUGUGAAGAAGGCCUUCGGGUUGUAAAGCACUUUCAGCGGGGAGGAAGGCGUUAAGGUUAAUAACCUUGGCGAUUGACGUUACCCGCAGAAGAAGCACCGGCUAACUCCGUGCCAGCAGCCGCGGUAAUACGGAGGGUGCAAGCGUUAAUCGGAAUUACUGGGCGUAAAGCGCACGCAGGCGGUCUGUCAAGUCGGAUGUGAAAUCCCCGGGCUCAACCUGGGAACUGCAUUCGAAACUGGCAGGCUAGAGUCUUGUAGAGGGGGGUAGAAUUCCAGGUGUAGCGGUGAAAUGCGUAGAGAUCUGGAGGAAUACCGGUGGCGAAGGCGGCCCCCUGGACAAAGACUGACGCUCAGGUGCGAAAGCGUGGGGAGCAAACAGGAUUAGAUACCCUGGUAGUCCACGCCGUAAACGAUGUCGAUUUGGAGGUUGUGCCCUUGAGGCGUGGCUUCCGGAGCUAACGCGUUAAAUCGACCGCCUGGGGAGUACGGCCGCAAGGUUAAAACUCAAAUGAAUUGACGGGGGCCCGCACAAGCGGUGGAGCAUGUGGUUUAAUUCGAUGCAACGCGAAGAACCUUACCUGGUCUUGACAUCCACAGAACUUAGCAGAGAUGCUUUGGUGCCUUCGGGAACUGUGAGACAGGUGCUGCAUGGCUGUCGUCAGCUCGUGUUGUGAAAUGUUGGGUUAAGUCCCGCAACGAGCGCAACCCUUAUCCUUUGUUGCCAGCGGUUAGGCCGGGAA